GCCGGAGUGGUGAAAUUGGUAGACGCACGGGACUCAAAAUCCCGCGGGAUAAAACCCGUGCCGGUUCGAUUCCGGCCUCCGGCACCA
rnacentral:tRNA from 1 species